rnacentral:rRNA from 1 species
UGGGGAAUAUUGGGCAAUGGGCGAAAACCUGACCCAGCGACGCCGCGUGGGUGAUGAAGGCCUUCGGGUUGUAAAACCCUUUCGUGCGGAAAGAAUAGUCCUGUAGCGAAUAACUACGGGAUUUGACGGUACCGCAGGAAGAAGCACCGGCUAACUCCGUGCCAGCAGCCGCGGUAAUACGGAGGGUGCAAGCGUUGUUCGGAAUUAUUGGGCGUAAAGGGCGCGUAGGUGGUUGUGAUAGUCAGAUGUGAAAUCCUUCGGCUCAACCGAAGAACUGCAUCUGAAACUUCAUAGCUCGAGUACAGGUGAGGGGAACGGAAUUCCCGGUGUAGAGGUGAAAUUCGUAGAUAUCGGGAGGAACACCAGUGGCGAAGGCGGUUUCCUGGCCUGAUACUGACGCUGAGGCGCGAAAGCGUGGGG